AUUGAACGCUGGCGGCAGGCCUAACACAUGCAAGUCGAGCGAGCGGCGGACGGGUGAGUAAUGUAUGGGGACUGCCCGAUAGAGGGGGAUAACUACUGGAAACGGUGGCUAAUACCGCAUACUAUCGGAUAACCCAUAUGGGAUUGGCUAGUAGGUGGGGUAAAGGCUCACCUAGGCGACGAUCUCCAGCUGGUCUGAGAGGAUGAUCGGCCACACUGGGACUGAGAAACGGCCCAGACUCCUACGGAGGCAGCAGUGGGGAAUAUUGCACAAUGGGCGCAAGCCUGAUGCAGCCAUGCCGCGUGUAUGAAGAAGGCCUUAGGGUUGUAAAGUACUUUCAGCGGGGAGGCGGUACCUGCAGAAUAAGCACCGGCUAACUACGUGCCAGCCGCCGCGGUAAUAC
rnacentral:rRNA from 1 species